rnacentral:lncRNA from 10 species
CACGUUGUGCACAUGUUCCCUAGAACUUAAAAUAUAAUAAAUAAAAUAAAUAAAAAAGUUUUUUCCUUUGCCUUUCACUUUGAUCAUACACAUCCAGAAGUCACUUUUUAUUCUGUUCUAGCUCCUGGGAAAAGGAUUUGUUUGUGAAGAUACAAAUAGUAAAUAAUUAAGGUUUUUAAAAGAUGCAUUCUGUCACAUAGACCUGAAUGACUGUUGCCUCUGUGCUAGCCUUCUUGGAGUAAACCUGCAAUUUUUUUCCCUUUGGUAGGCUCUUGCAGCCAAUGCCGGAACAGGAUUUGCUGUUGCUGAGCCUCAAAUCGCAAUGUUUUGUGGGAAGUUAAAUAUGCAUGUGAACAUUCAGACUGGGAAAUGGGAACCUGAUCCAACAGGCACCAAGAGCUGCUUUGAAACAAAAGAAGAAGUUCUUCAGUACUGUCAGGAGAUGUAUCCAGAGCUACAGAUCACAAAUGUGAUGGAG